ACAAGCUUCUUCCUCUACCUCUUAUCUUCUCUUUCGUUUUCGAUUUUCUCUCUGCUCUUCUCCUCUCUCAAUAGCUGCUUUUCUUCAUCCUCAUCACCUACAGUUUCGGCGCUUCACCGAAAACCACCGCGAUAACAGUGAGUUGAGAGUGAUCAUACCUUGAAGAGAAUCUCACAUCAAAUGUGGAUAUCGGAAUCAUCUGCACUUCGAUUCGUGGUUUAUACGACACGCACCGUCGCGGCUAGGAGAGGUGGACUUCGUAACUAUGGUUAAUUGAGGUUAUGUUUUGAAAGGUUUGGUUUGUGGUUUAUUGAAUCCAUCAAGGUGAGUGUGAUAAUAAUGUAACUUUAAAUGUAUUAAUGUAAAUUCAAUUGUAUUAUAGAACAUAUUUAACAUUAGAUCUAUAAUGUAGUAUACUUUAUUCUUAUUCUUAUAUAU